GUGGACAUCUGCGCUCCUCUCAUGGCUGAAAUGGAUGGUGAGACUUGAGAGCAACCCACCAGGCACACACCUGGUGCCACUAUCCUACCAUGGGACUGCACAGAUCCUGCACUCAUCCCUGCAUCCCCAGCCAAGGCCAUCACCAAGACAGAAGUGGUGCGAAGGAUGUGAGGAAACCACAGAUGCUAAACUUGAAUCAUCUUCUACUUUUUUUUCUCCUUGACCACUUCACUGUCCCAUCAGUGUGCCUCGCAGGAAUCCAGACCCAUUCAUCUUCACCUCUUCCCCUUUCAGGAAAUCAAGAGAUGAUAAGACUACAAGACUUGCCCAUGGCCAUAGCAUGGAACAAGUUCUAAUUUUAGAGUGGUGAUGAUCUGAGUUAGCCCCCAUAGAGCCCCACUAGAGCCCAGCAUGACAUUCCUGACAUAUCCAGGAUACCCGGCAUUCCUCCUACUUUUGUUCAGAUGCCUCCCAUGGAGAUGAUUUCAGCUGGGGAUGUCUCUAUCUGAUUCAUAGAGGAAUGGGACUAUUCAUGGACUAUUUUGGGAAGAGGGGAUCUAUCAGACAGACAACCUGAGAUGUAUGCAGGGGGACCACUUGGUGCUGUGCUCACACACAGUUGGAUGAUACACAGCCCAUGCCCACCCACUGCACUCCCUCCCAUAUGGCCUUCAUCCCCUAAACAGCUGGGGCUUCCCCCUGUACAAAUAUGCUGCACCUCAGUCCUCUGGGUUAGUUGGGGCUGUCGUUUCUCUGUUACAACUGCAAAAACACGAGAAGUUUCUCCCUUUAUUUGCAGGCUUGCACUUAUGCAUUUGGAUUUAGUGUGGUAUUUGCAAUGCUUUCUGUUUGAACAAUGGGCUCUCUCUCCACAAAUCCAGCUUUUGCACUGCCAGGGAAAGGCUGAUGUACUUGUUAAUAUGUGCACACUGAAAACACUGCAGCAGUUCUGGCAUUCUUUGCCCUCAAAUCUCAGUCCCCAAAUCAUGAGGUUUUGUAAAUAACCAAGUUAAUGACUCCUUUCUUUGUUUUCCAGGAUUUGAGUUCAGAUUUUCCAGCUUUUCUCCAAAAUACUAAAAAGGACAUUGCUUUCAUUUUGAUGUGACAACACAUAACAUCGUGCACUAACAGUAUCCUGGGAGCUACUGCCUCAAAAGAAACACUAAGUCCUAUGGGACAGACACGUCAGUCCUUAGCACUGAACAGACACUGAGACGAGAGCAGAAGGACUCCACUGAGAUGCUCAGACACCUGCAGGUGUCUCUUCUGUCCUUGGUUCCAGCUGCUCCUGCAGAUACCAAGGCAUUUUGAUGCAAAGCUGAGGCUGGAUCCAUGUGGAAGCAGCUGGAAGCAGCACAGAUGUAGGUGCUCACUUCUGCCAAAAGGGCACAGUAGGAGAGGAAACAGAAGAGAUUUCCUUAACAUAUUUUUUAUCUUUCUAAUAAGACACAGUGCCAAUAUGGGACUCCUUUCCCUGAUUUCUACUGUUGGUGGGUCAGACUCUGAAUCAAAAUGAAUUAUAUAUAUAGUCAGUGGAGACAGUGGCACAGCUGGUCCCAGUCUGGUGCAUCUUCAGAUAGGCAGCGAGGCUGCAAAAUGAAUUAAUCUCUGAUUAUGUCACUUGUUCUCCACUCUGUUCAAGAAUUUAACUGGGUCUCUGACUUUUCAGGAUGUUCAGCACUCUGGAAAUGGGGAUGAGAGGGCCGAGACAUCACUGUGACACCCACUUAUAGAGGAGCUGGGGCUGAUACCUCUGAUAUCUUCCCUUUUACCUGCUGUAGAAGACUUCCCCCUCCUCUAGGAGAUUUGAAGGACAUAUUUCCCUUGGUGAAAAGCAAAAAUGAAGCAAUAGCGAGCAAAGGUACUGGGGACUUAAUGGUCUUUCCUUGCCAUGGCCAAGCCCUGUGAGAAUAGCACUGAAAUGUGUACUGGAUUAUCUUAGAAUCAUAGAAUUGUUUGAGUUGGAAGGAACCUUUGAGCUCCAACUCCCUUGCAAUGAACAGGGAUGCGUACAGCAAGACCAGGGUGCUCAGAGCCCCAUCCUACCUGACCUCAAGUUCCUCCAGGGAUGGGGCAAUUAGCAGAUGGAUGAAAAGCCACAGGACUUCUGUUUUAAUGAUGGAUAUAAUUAGCUGCGCUCCUCCAGGAGGCUCUGCACAGCGGAACAGGCUGCUGCCACCCUCCAAACUGCUAGUUAUAGAUAGCAGAGGAAGAACAACACUUAAUCCCACUAACAAGAGAGCCAGGCUGUCAUCUUAAGAGCUUCCCAGCAGAGGAUGCUAAAGGAUGUUGUGAAAACAGGGUAAGGGUGCUAUUGUCUGAAUUGUUGGGUGGGAGACUGAGGGCAUGGAGACCCUGUAUGAGACCUGUGUAGGGCUCCAUGCUUCUGUUCUGCAGGACAAAAUGGCUCUGCUGGCACCUUAAGCAUCCCCUCUAGUCCAUCAGCUGUGCCCAAGGGUGAGCAGGGAGGGAUGGAGUUGGUUUCUGGGGAGAAAAAGAGCUCCCUGCAGCUAAAUGUGUGGAGGAAGAGUCUGACCCUCCUGGCAGCAGGCUGGUAUUCAGAGAUAUUCAGCCCCGAGCUGCAGGGUCCAGAGAUAUUCAGCCCUGCAAUGAGGAAAAGCCAUUCCUCAUCCCCACUUUUUCUCCCUGACCUUCCUAGACAUGAGAGGAAGAAAGGGAAAGAAAAAAAGAACGGGGAAAAAGACUCACAGAUCAAUCUAAGUAUUCAAUCACUUCCUCUUUGGCUAUUGCCCAUAAAUCACCAACAUCUCUGUCUCCUGCAGAAAAUAACUGUUAAAUCCGACAGCCAACUCCUAGCUAACAGAAAACAACCCCCUAACAAAGUGCUACAUCCCUCCUUCCCCUGAGAAAACUCCAUCCCUCUGUUAGCACAGCAGCUCUGCUCACUCUGCUUUCCAUUUAAGCUGCUUUAUCCUAUAGAAAAAAAAAUCAUGCUACCCACCUGUUGGUGUUGGCCACGGCUGGUACUCUCUGUAGCCUGGCUCCCACCUCCAACCCCAGUGAGCUACUGAGUGCCUGAGUCACCUAUUAAAAAAGGAAGCUGCAAGCUCAGCACUGAUCCCCUGUGCUGCCUGGCCAACCACAUGUCAUCGGCUUUGCUCCCAAAAUCAGCCGUCCUGAGCAAACACAGCUGCUAAGCAAAGCCCUUUGUGUAGGCGGGUGCACCCCAUGCAGGCCCGCUCCUGAUAUCCCAUAGGGUUGUGUAAUGGGACCUGAGCUCAGCUCAGCUUGCAGGGAGCUUGCAGGAGCUGAGGGAAGAGGGAAAGGCUGAUGGUGCAGGUUGUGACACAGUCCUGGCCUCUCAUUUGCUUGCCCAUCCUCACUGAUCCUCUACCAAUUAGCUUUGCGUUAGUUAUGCCCCACUGACUUGGCAUGCUCUAUGCCAUGGGACAUGAUAUGGGCUCCAUGCCCUUGUCAUGCCUCUACCUGGUCACCAUGUGACACAGUGAGGUUCCUGGUGAGACCUCAGCAUCUCCUUGCACCCUCCUGGAGCUGGAAACCCAUUCCUGCAGGAGAGAACCUCAUUCCUAAGCACCUUUAUCCCUGCAUAUAGGAAGUGCAGGUGCUAAAUCACACCCAUCCCACUCUUUUCCUAUCUUUGCCUCAUGGAGAAUCUAUCCUGCAACAAAAGAACCUCUUAAAUCCCGGUGAGGUAAUUUGCACAGCUGGGUGAGCACCCAUAAAAGCUGUCUGAGAAACCAGUGCUGCUGCUUAAUCCAGGAGCCCAGCAGCCUAUUGGUGGUGCUCAGUCAGCAUAGAUGGGUUUAUAUCUUUGCUCCCAGCCUGUGAAUUAGUGACCUGGUCCUGGGGAUGCUGAGAUGGAGGAGAUGCAUGCUGAGGGGAGCAGAGUAGCCUCCCUGCCCCAACUUGAGACUGCCAAUGGGUCACCUGUUUAUAUUAUAACUGCAUGUGCUAGCAAUUGACCUUUAGAAGUGAUUUUUUCCCUUGCUCACAAGAGCACCAAAAGUCCUUGAUUUUAGACACUUCUACAGACAUCUGUGGCUCGUCAGUGUCAGCUGGACUUCCCUUUGCAAGAGGCACUUCACAGCCCUCAGUCAAGUCCUGAAGCUACUUUGAAUAUUUUCGAACAAAGACUUGAGUGAAAGCUGAAGAGUUGUAAGGAAGUGGAGGAAGCUGAGGAAUUUCUGUUCUGGCAGCAAUCAGUAGAAUGUGUAUCCCAGAAGGAAAUACUAACCAUAGCCAAACGCACGUGGAGAACAACACUGCAUAUAACUCAGGCUGUGGGGGUCAGGCCAUUCACACAGUGACUGAGCACUGAAACAUGGAUAUGGAGUCUUUUCUUUUUGGCCACCACACAGACAUUCAAUAGCUGAAUAGCUCUAGCAAAUGAAUUAUCAGGUAUGAGAGUCAGAGGUAGGCACACAAGUUCUGUCUUACCAAGUGGUGCAGCAGUUACUUUCCGUGCCUGAGAGCAAAUAACCAUGAUAUGGCCAUAUUAUUAAUGCUCUUAAUCCAGCAGACCCCCUCCUGAAGCCCUCUGUUUGGCCCAGGGUCACAAACACAUUCCUCAAUGCACCCUGGAGCUGAGAGCAGAAGAGGGAGGGAGAAACAUUUCCUCCUGAAUGAAUCCUUCUCUGCCUCCUCUUCCCCAGGGGUCUAAGCUGAAGUGAAGCUCAUUUUCCUCCAAGGUUCAUAUUUGAUGUCUACUGUAUUGCAACUAGUUCUGAAUGUGAUUCUGACCUGGACUAGGUUCCAACCAAUCCUACAAUGCCUAACAGGUUCAUCAGAAUCCUGUCUGUAUCCUCUCUUGUGCUGACGAAGUCCCAGUAACUCGCAGCAUUUUGGGGUCAGGUUGUAGACAGAGUG